GAUGAAGAACGCAGCGAAAUGCGAUAAGUAAUGUGAAUUGCAGAAUUCAGUGAAUCAUCGAAUCUUUGAACGCACAUUGCGCCCGCCAGUAUUCUGGCGGGCAUGCCUGUCCGAGCGUCAUUUCAACCCUCGAACCCCUCCGGGGGUCCGGCGUUGGGGAUCGGGAACCCCUAAGACGGGAUCCCGGCCCCGAAAUACAGUGGCGGUCUCGCCGCAGCCUCUCAUGCGCAGUAGUUUGCACAACUCGCACCGGGAGCGCGGCGCGUCCACGUCCGUAAAACACCCAACUUCUGAAAUGUUGACCUCGGAUCAGGUAGGAAUACCCGCUGAACUUAAGCAUAUCAAUAAGCGGAGGA
rnacentral:misc_RNA from 1 species